rnacentral:rRNA from 1 species
AUAUUUGGCAAUGGGCGAAAGCCUGAUCCAGCCAUUCCGCGUGUGUGAAGAAGGUCUNNNGAUUGNACAGCACUUUAAGUUGGNAGGNAGGGGUUGAAGCUAAUACCUUCAAUCUUUGACGUUACCAACAGAAUAAGCACCGGCUAACUUUGUUCCAGCAGCCGCGGUAAUACAGAGGGUGCAAGCGUUAAUCGGAAUUACUGGGCGUAAAGCGCGCGUAGGUGGUUCAGUAAGAUGGAAGUGAAAUCCCCGGGCUUAACCUGGGAACUGCUUUCAUAACUGCUGAGCUAGAGUACGGUAGAGGGUAGUGGAAUUUCCUGUGUAGCGGUGAAAUGCGUAGAUAUAGGAAGGAACACCAGUGGCGAAGGCGACUACCUGGACUGAUACUGACACUGAGGUGCGAAAGCGUGGGGAGCAAACA